UACGGAGGAUCCAAGCGUUAUCCGGAAUCAUUGGGUUUAAAGGGUCCGUAGGCGGCCUUAUAAGUCAGUGGUGAAAGCCCAUCGCUCAACGAUGGAACUGCCAUUGAUACUGUAAGGCUUGAAUUAUUGUGAAGUAACUAGAAUAUGUAGUGUAGCGGUGAAAUGCUUAGAUAUUACAUGGAAUACCAAUUGCGAAGGCAGGUUACUAACAAUGGAUUGACGCUGAUGGACGAAAGCGUGGGGAGCGAACAGG
rnacentral:rRNA from 1 species